UUAUUGUUAUUCGAAUCAUUCGGUUACAGGACAUCAAUCAGUUCAGACCAAACAAUAUUAACCAAUCUUUACCAAACAUUAAUUAUGAAACUGUUUAUUGUAAUCGCUCUGGCUGUAGUGAGCCAAUGUGAAGGUGGGCUGACGAAAUGUGAAAUGAUAGAAGAACUAAUUAAACGUGGAAUCCCGCGGGACGCAAUGAAGGGCUGGGAUUGUUUCGUGGAUAGUGGGACUUCACAGCAAACUGAUAUCAUCUUCAAGCCCAACGCCGAUGGUUCCCGAGGCUACGGCCAGCUACAGAUUAAUAACAAGUUUUUGUGCACAAUUACUAAUAACCACGCUAAGAAUUGCAAUGUUUAUUUUGUGUUUUUCAAUGGAGAAAGAGCAAACUUGCAACGGCUCCUCGAUUUUUAAGUGAUCCGACGCCCAUAGACAACAGAGGAACCGCAAACGCACUUUUAAAUCGGAACGAAGCAAAAGCUGUAAUUUCCAAGCAGCAAAUUAUCCAGCAGUUUCUAUAGACAUCAGUGGUUUUUUCCUUAACCUUGACGUGGCGAAAUUCCAAAACAACAGGAGCGUUAUUAAGGAAAUAACUACGCAAAUACCGGUUUGUAAUAAAAUAUAGAACCUAUAACAGACGAAAUAACGAAGACUGCAGUUUACUAAGAAGAUUUAUCAGGGACAUGACUUCCACGGUUGGUAUCAACAAGGCUGGAAGAA